ACGAAGGUGGCAAGCGUUGUUCGGAUUUACUGGGCGUACAGGGAGCGUAGGCGGUUGGGUAAGCCCUCCGUGAAAUCUCCGGGCCUAACCCGGAAAGUGCGGAGGGGACUGCUCGGCUAGAGGAUGGGAGAGGAGCGCGGAAUUCCCGGUGUAGCGGUGAAAUGCGUAGAGAUCGGGAGGAAGGCCGGUGGCGAAGGCGGCGCUCUGGAACAUUUCUGACGCUGAGGCUCGAAAGCGUGGGGAGCAAACAGGAUUAGAUACCCUGGUAGUCCACGCCUUAAACUAUGAAUACUAAGUGUCGGCGGGUUACCGCCGGUGCCGCAGCUAACGCAGUAAGUAUUCCGCCUGGGAAGUACGGCCGCAAGGUUG
rnacentral:rRNA from 1 species